CCUACGGGGUGCUGCAGUGGGGAAUAUUGGACAAUGGGCGAAAGCCUGAUCCAGCCAUGCCGCGUGUGUGAAGAAGGCCUUCGGGUUGUAAAGCACUUUCAGUGGGGAAGAAAGCCUUGGGGCUAAUACCCUCGAGGAAGGACAUCACCCACAGAAGAAGCACCGGCUAACUCCGUGCCAGCAGCCGCGGUAAUACGGAGGGUGCGAGCGUUAAUCGGAAUUACUGGGCGUAAAGCGCGCGUAGGCGGUCUGAUAAGCCGGUUGUGAAAGCCCCGGGCUCAACCUGGGAACGGCAUCCGGAACUGUCAGGCUAGAGUGCAGGAGAGGGAGGUAGAAUUCCCGGUGUAGCGGUGAAAUGCGUAGAGAUCGGGAGGAAUACCAGUGGCGAAGGCGGCCUUCUGGACUGACACUGACGCUGAGGUGCGAAAGCGUGGGUAGCAAACAGGAUUAGAUACCCUAGUAGUC
rnacentral:rRNA from 1 species